rfam:Myotis lucifugus cont2.59568, whole genome shotgun sequence.
GGUGGUUCUCAGGUGACACAGCCCGGAAUUGGACUCCCUCCUCUCUGGUUUCAGGUGCAUCACCUGAGAACCACA